rnacentral:rRNA from 1 species
UGGGGAAUAUUGCACAAUGGGCGCAAGCCUGAUGCAGCCAUGCCGCGUGUGUGAAGAAGGCCUUCGGGUUGUAAAGCACUUUCAGCGAGGAGGAAGGGCUCAGUGUUAAUAGCACUGUUCAUUGACGUUACUCGCAGAAGAAGCACCGGCUAACUCCGUGCCAGCAGCCGCGGUAAUACGGAGGGUGCAAGCGUUAAUCGGAAUUACUGGGCGUAAAGCGCACGCAGGCGGUUUGUUAAGUCAGAUGUGAAAUCCCCGCGCUUAACGUGGGAACUGCAUUUGAAACUGGCAAGCUAGAGUCUUGUAGAGGGGGGUGAGAAUUCCAGGUGUAGCGGUGAAAUGCGUAGAGAUCUGGAGGAAUACCGGUGGCGAAGGCGGCCCCCUGGACAAAGACUGACGCUCAGGUGCGAAAG